rnacentral:lncRNA from 1 species
GAUCCCACCUUACAACCAGGGUGCACCUAUAUUGGUGCCCUUAGUAGCUCCCAGCACUGCACGGGGGUCCAAAGACAGGAGGAAUAUACCGGCCGGUUCAUCAGUACCCUGGCAGUGUUUUUCUUCAUUGCUUUUCUUUUGUACUCCAUGGAAGACAUUGCAAGAUGAUCUCCCGAGAAAUCGACAACUUUUUGCAUGGGUUGCUUGCUUCCACGGUCACACACGACGGAUGAAUUGACUAAAGCCGGCCCGGGACCGUGACCCUGAGCUGAGGGUGGUGAGCCGUUGAGAGGUGGCUACUAACUAAAGGCGAGCUUGCUUUUUGCAGCCUUCCUUCCUUUUGACGGGAGCAAACCAAAUCACAAAUUAGCGCAUCAGUCGUCGACCAUUAUCAUCCUUGCUCCGCUAAUUAUCUAGUAGUUACUAGGUUAUUAGCAUUGAAGGGAACUCACGUUGCGGUGAGCCAGUGGUAGAUUACAUGGCGAUGGCACGCUCAAUGUCCAGC